UUGAACCACCAAGCUGCCAGCUCCCCACCCAGGUGAAAACAGACAGCAGUGGGUGGUCAGGAUACCUGCCACGGGGAUCCACCAGCAGAGGAUGAUGAUGUCCAACACCCUCUUUUACCAACAAAACUCUUUCCAUCUAUGCCUAACUAUAGUACAGUGAUAUUCUAUAGAGUCAUGUUUGGGGGCAGUGAAAGAGUUUGGAAAUAGAUUGAGGUGAGGAUUGCAAUAACAUCACGAAUGUAACUAAUGGCCCUGAAUUGUAUCCUUAAAAUGCCAAGGUUUGUAAGCAUGGAAGUUCCUUAAAAAGUUAAAAACAAAACUACUCUCCGAUCCAGCAAUUGCACUACACGGUCUUGCUGUGUCUACAUCUAAGCUGUUACGUUGGACUUCACGGUGGACACCUCCCACGCCUAGCACCCACCCCCAGGGGUGGGCACCUGUAUCGCACCUGCCCUGGCGAUUGCCCUCGUACGUGUCCCCUUAUGGACCUGAGAAGGAUUUUUGAAUCACAGGGGUUACAGAUAUUCGUCGUGAAUAAGUACUGUCUACUACUCUCCAGACUGCUGUCUACCCUAGUCUAAGAGCUGUGUGUAGCAUUUCCUACAGGCCCACAACCACAGCCACACCUGGCAUGGAAAUGAGAAUAUUGAUACAGACACCAGAGUGAAAAGAUAAGAAAAAUAGGCCCUGCCCUUGGGCAGCCUGAGGCCCUCCAGCCUCCCUGAGACAGAAUACCCAUUCACAUCACAAGGCAUUUCUCUGUGUCACAACACAGAUGAGGAUUGCUGGGGUAGGAUGCCCUCCCCACUGCUACUAUCUUCUGAAAAAAAAUGACUCAAGUCUCAGGAUUGUGUGGAAUGAGGGAGAGUCAAUGUUAAAUUUCUCAGGAUGUCACUUUGGUAAUCUCUGUUCCACCAGGAACAGUCACGAUUGCUGACCAUUCUGCCACCAUCCGGGGAGCUAUAUCCAUCUAAGGAAGAAGCAUAUGCGGACAGAACUGGUCAAGGCCUCACGGGCAAGGUUCUGAGGAACAAGCGGAAUCCAGGCCUGCUUGACUGCAAACCACAAUCUCUUCCUAUGCCUUUGUGGGACAUAUUUCAAGAAGAAGGGGCAGAAAUAAGGGCUGCUCAAGAAGUUAACUUUGCUCUUUGGGGAACGUGGAAAUGUUCCUUGCAGAGCCACGACCAGGCUCCCCCAUGAACGCUGCAGAUUCCAAGAGCACAGGUCCCUUUCUUUUGCUUUGUCACCUUGGGGUUUUAGGGAUUUCAGUAUAGCAGUUGAGAUACAAACCCGUAAACUUUAUUUAGAAAAGUACGAUGAUCUGAGAA